rnacentral:misc_RNA from 1 species
GAUGAAGGAACGUAGCAAAAUGCGAUAAGUAAUGUGAAUUGCAGAAUUCAGUGAAUCAUCGAAUCUUUGAACGCACAUUGCGCCCCUUGGUAUUCCGAGGGGCAUGCCUGUUCGAGCGUCAUUAUAACCCCUCAAGCUCAGCUUGGUGUUGGGGCCUGCUGCACUGGCAGCCCUUAAAAUCAGUGGCGGCGCCAUCUGGCUCUAAGCGUAGUAAUUCUUCUCGCUAUGGAGUCCUGGUGGAUGCUUGCCAUCAACCCCCAAUUUUUCUAUGGUUGACCUCGGAUCAGGUAGGGAUACCCGCUGAACUUAAGCAUAUCAAUAAGCGGAGGA